UACGUAGGGUGCAAGCGUUAAUCGGAAUUACUGGGCGUAAAGCGUGCGCAGGCGGCUUUGCAAGACAGAUGUGAAAUCCCCGGGCUUAACCUGGGAACUGCAUUUGUGACUGCAUGGCUGGAGUGCGGCAGAGGGGGAUGGAAUUCCGCGUGUAGCAGUGAAAUGCGUAGAUAUGCGGAGGAACACCGAUGGCGAAGGCAAUCCCCUGGGCCUGCACUGACGCUCUUGCACGAAAGCGUGGGGAGCAAACAGG
rnacentral:rRNA from 1 species